rnacentral:rRNA from 1 species
UACAGAGGUCCCAAGCGUUACUGAGAAUCACUGGGGUUAAAGGGGGCGUAGGUGGUCCGUUAAGUCAGUUGUGAAAUCCCCGGGCUCAACCCGGGAAAUGCUUCUGAUACUGGCGGACUUGAGGCCAGUAGGGGUCACUAGAACUGACGGUGGAGCGGUGAAAUGCGUAGAUAUCGUCAGGAAUGCCGGUGGUGAAGACGGGUGACUGGGCUGGUUCUGACACUGAGGCACGAAAGCGUGGGGAGCGAACGGG